UCCUGAAAAGUCAGGAAUAUCUCUGUCAUCUGUGUUAUGUGUCUAUUUCAUUUUCAGCCUGUGUAUAGCAGAAUGUAUAAGCAUAAAAUUCCAUUAUAGAUUUAGGGACCUUUGGACGGGGGGCGUCCUACUCAUAAUCCCCUGGUAAAAUCCCGGGCAGGGACAGCCCGUGUAUUACCUGAGGAUCAACAUGAAGCUGUCUUAGGGGGAAAACAAAUAGCUCGACUAUGGAAAACUAAAACAGGAUGGUGGAAUCCUGGUAUUUACCGAGGCCCUUUUGUGAUUAAACCACCACCCACACAUGAUCCCAUAAAAGUGGAAAAACAAAAGGCAGUGAGUUCUCUCAGCCAAUUUCUCAGCCAAUUACAGGUCAACCUUCUCGUCUACCCCUCUCACUGCUGCGCUUGACUGGUCUUUGGGUAUAGAGAUUGGGCGAAUUGUCCUUGGCAUAAUCGUGGACAAUAUAAUGUAACCCAAAGUGGCUGGACUUCAAGAACUUGGCCACCCUGGACAAGAUGGACAAAGCCUAUGUGGCAAUGGUUUUGCAAAAAGAUUAAUUGUUAUAAAAACUGUGGAAGGUAUUGCAAGAUUAAGCAUAAGUGUAAAGCAGUGUGAAGUCAAUUGUUACUCUAAAUCAACUAAACAAAAGCUCAUUGCAUUUGUGUGUGUAUGCGGAACUGUACUAUGUGCCACUUGGAAAAUUUUGUCUCUGGGAAAUAAUGUUUAUGAUUAUAUCUUGUACUGCCCCUUUGUUGAUCAUGCGAUGUUAUGCUUUUGUAAGCUUAUGAUAUAAAAGACCAUGUAAAAAAUAAAGAGCAGAGGCUUCUUUUUUCUGCAGAAUGAAAAUAUAAGACACUCUACCGCUCGUUCUUUUUUCGCCGAACUCUACCCCUCCUCUGGUAACCCUGUUCAUUGCUGAGGCUGGCCCCCGGCAACUGGCGCCCGAACAGGGACCUGAAGGACGAAACUUCCCCUUUGUGGAUACCCGACAGACUCAUCAGACAUGCAAGACCCAAAAACCACCAAAAUUCCUCCAACACUUCCCCCCUCACUGCUCACAAACCUAACACCUCCCACGACUCUUCUGAGAAAUCUGUCUCUUGAAAAUGCUCCAUCUACACCCCCACCUUCGCCUGUCUCUAGUUCUCCCUCCUCUUCAUCUUCUACUCCACCCCUUCUCACUGACUUUAUACAACCCUCUACAAACCUCAACAACUCUUCAUCUCGAGACAAAGUGCGGUGGAGAAGCCGGAGACAUACUCCCUAUUCAAGAACCCAUCAAACCAUUGCGGCUGAGCCCCCAACUUGGGGCCAACUCAAAAAACUUACUCAUCUGGCUCACAUCUUAACCGUGGAUCAACAUAUUCCCGUAAAUGCGGGUACUCUUUUUGUGGCAAUGCUCGCUAUCAUUUCCUGUCAGUCAUCUUCCGAAUCUUAAAUCAAGCUAUCCAAAAGGUGGCUUCAGAUCUUCAUCUAGCGAAAUUAAAAAAUAAAAAAGGGGGAGAUGCUGGGAGCCAGGCUGCAAGGGCGGCCUCUCUGCACCCACUGCCCCCAGCAUAAACAUUGAAGAAUUCCUGAAAAGUCAGGAAGAGCCAGGCUGCAAGGGCGGCCCCUCUGCACCCACUGCCCCCAGCAUAAACAUCGAAGAAUUCCUGAAAAGUCAGGAAUAUCUCUGUCAUCUGUGUUAUGUGUCUAUUUCAUUUUCAGCCUGUGUAUAGCAGAAUGUAUAAGCAUAAAAUUCCAUUAUAGAUUUAGGGACCUUUGGACGGGGGGCGUCCUACUCAUAAUCCCCUGGUAAAAUCCCGGGCAGGGACAGCCCGUGUAUUACCUGAGGAUCAACAUGAAGCUGUCUUAGGGGGAAAACAAAUAGCUCGACUAUGGAAAACUAAAACAGGAUGGUGGAAUCCUGGUAUUUACCGAGGCCCUUUUGUGAUUAAACCACCACCCACACAUGAUCCCAUAAAAGUGGAAAAACAAAAGGCAGUGAGUUCUCUCAGCCAAUUUCUCAGCCAAUUACAGGUCAACCUUCUCGUCUACCCCUCUCACUGCUGCGCUUGACUGGUCUUUGGGUAUAGAGAUUGGGCGAAUUGUCCUUGGCAUAAUCGUGGACAAUAUAAUGUAACCCAAAGUGGCUGGACUUCAAGAACUUGGCCACCCUGGACAAGAUGGACAAAGCCUAUGUGGCAAUGGUUUUGCAAAAAGAUUAAUUGUUAUAAAAACUGUGGAAGGUAUUGCAAGAUUAAGCAUAAGUGUAAAGCAGUGUGAAGUCAAUUGUUACUCUAAAUCAACUAAACAAAAGCUCAUUGCAUUUGUGUGUGUAUGCGGAACUGUACUAUGUGCCACUUGGAAAAUUUUGUCUCUGGGAAAUAAUGUUUAUGAUUAUAUCUUGUACUGCCCCUUUGUUGAUCAUGCGAUGUUAUGCUUUUGUAAGCUUAUGAUAUAAAAGACCAUGUAAAAAAUAAAGAGCAGAGGCUUCUUUUUUCUGCAGAAUGAAAAUAUAAGACACACGACCUCUCAUUC